AACGAACGCUGGCGGCAUGCCUAACACAUGCAAGUCGAACGAGACCUUCGGGUCUAGUGGCGCACGGGUGCGUAACGCGUGGGAAUCUGCCCUUGGGUUCGGAAUAACUCAGAGAAAUUUGAGCUAAUACCGGAUGAUGACGAAAGUCCAAAGAUUUAUCGCCCAAGGAUGAGCCCGCGUAAGAUUAGCUUGUUGGUGGGGUAAUGGCCCACCAAGGCGACGAUCUUUAGCUGGUCUGAGAGGAUGAUCAGCCACACUGGGACUGAGACACGGCCCAGACGCCUACGGGGGGCAGCAGGGGAGAAUAGUGGACAAUGGGCGAAAGCCUGAUCCAGCAAUGCCGCGUGAGUGAUGAAGGCCUUAGGGUUGUAAAGCUCUUUUACCAGGGAUGAUAAUGACAGUACCUGGAGAAUAAGCUCCGGCUAACUCCGUGCCAGCCGCCGCCGUAAGAC
rnacentral:rRNA from 1 species